UGAUUUCAAAAAACCAAACUGGACAGGCCAGUGGAAUCAAGUUAUCAGUAGGGGCGUCUAUGAGCCGAACACGAGCUGACUCAUUAAAGUAUUGAGUCAAAAAUUUUCGCUCGUAUUUGGCUCAUUUAUUAACAAGCUAGCUCACGAACAAUAAGUUAAAAGAAUUAAACAAGAUAUAUUUAUAGGAAAAAAAAUUUAGAUCUUGCUCAUUAGAUUUUGAUGCAAUUAUUGAAACUUUACAUGUAAAUGAGCUUUUUUAGAAUUGAGUUGGACUUUAUAUUUAGGUUGGACUAAAAAUUAAAUAAUAAAAAUUUAUAUUUUAUAUAUUUAAUUAUUUAUUUAUAACUUAUAUGAAUAUAAAAUAUAUAUAUUCAAGUGGUUAUCGAGCUAAACACGAGCAAGUUGACCCUACUCGUGUUCGGCUCGUUUAUUAAGCAAGCUGAAAAAUUCAGCUCGUAUUCGGCUCAUUUACUAAACGAGCGAUUCGAUUCCGAGCUCACUUCGAGCCAAACACAAGCUAGCUCCUGAAUAGCGAGCUCGAUUGUCACCCCUAGUUAUCAGGAACUAGUAUGAUGGCCAUGGCCUUACUGCAGAUUUGGU
rnacentral:lncRNA from 1 species